rnacentral:rRNA from 1 species
UACGGGGGGGGCAAGCGUUGUUCGGAAUUACUGGGCGUAAAGGGCUCGUAGGCGGCCAACUAAGUCAGACGUGAAAUCCCUCGGCUUAACCGGGGAACUGCGUCUGAUACUGGAUGGCUUGAGUUCGGGAGAGGGAUGUGGAAUUCCGGGUGUAGCGGUGGAAUGCGUAGAGAUCCGGAAGAACACCGGUGGCGAAGGCGGCCUGCUGGGCAGUAGCUGACGCUGAGGCGCGACAGCGUGGGGAGCAAACAGG